rnacentral:rRNA from 1 species
UCGAGAAUCUUCGGCAAUGGGCGAAAGCCUGACCGAGCGAUGCCGCGUGCGGGAUGAAGGCCUUCGGGUUGUAAACCGCUGUCGUAGGGGAGAAAGGGUCGUUGAAGAAACGACUUUGAUCUAUCCUAGGAGGAAGUCCGGGCUAAGUUCGUGCCAGCAGCCGCGGUAACACGAACCGGACAAACGUUAUUCGGAAUUACUGGGCUUAAAGGGUGCGUAGGCGGUGCGGUAAGUGCGGUGUGAAAUCCCACGGCUCAACCGUGGAAUUGCGCUGCAUACUGCCGUGCUAGAGGGAGACAGGGGUAAGCGGAACUGAUGGUGGAGCGGUGAAAUGCGUUGAUAUCAUCAGGAACACCGGUGGCGAAAGCGGCUUACUGGGUCUCUUCUGACGCUGAGGCACGAAAGCUAGGGUAGCGAACGGGAUUAGAUACCCGGGUAGUCCCUGAGCGGGCUGGCAAGGCGCAU